CCUAAUUCCAUUUAGGUUAAUAAUAUGCCCACUCAAUCUUCCUUUCCAGAACCAGCCCGAUCUUUAAACUUUCCAAGGAGAGACUGGCGGUGAUUCUUCAUUGCAGGGCUCCCCUUGUGUGAUGAAUGGCUGUGAAAAUAAAUUAUGGGGACCGAAGAGGAGUCUGGGAAUAUUACAACCUGGAUGCAGCUUUCUUCUUUCCUACUUCCAAACCGCCAAUUUCUUCCUCUCUGGAGCCAAAUAAGGUGCUAACUCCCGUGGGUGGCGGGGUGCGAGUGAGGCUUUGGGCUUUGGUCAGUUCCAAGUAGAGAGUAUUGUGAGGUUCCUUCUCCCAGUGGGCUGGGCAGGUGCCUAGAGAAUAAUGUCAAAGGCCAGGAGUGAAGAAUGGAAGGCGGCAAAUCCUGGGAAGAGUUGGGCUGCUGCCGAUGAAGUCAACACAGGCCCAGUGUGUCAGCGCUGGGCUUCCUACCCCAAGAGGCCAAGAAGGAGCUGAACGGGGUCUGGUCCUCUCCCCUGCAGCUGGGCCAGUGAAAGGAGUCUGGACGGAGGGGUUUCCUGCAGCUUCUGUGAGUCCGCCUGUGGAGAGAGCCUGCUUCUGCCGUCUGUGAGAGUCUCAUCACUUGGGAAUGAGAUGUCCUGAGAUGUAAAGAGCUCACAAAGAAAAAUAUCAUACCAUCUAAAAGGGGCCAGCAGCCAGAGAGAAAAAGCAAAAUACAUCCCCAGCAAGAUGAAGCUGUGAGCUGUGUGUCCGAGUGGGGGAGGGGCAGGGAUCUGCACUUAGAUGACAGAAUAGCAACCGUUGGUGUGUGGAAAGAGAGGGAGAAAAAAAUAAAAUUCUAAAGGUCUAAGGAAGGAAGAUGAAAAGUAAAAUGGCUCUAAACCUCUCAUCUUAUUGGAGUGACGGGGAAUCAGAAGAGAGCUGAAGCACAUUUCUCUGUGGGGAAAUGAUGCAAAUUGGUGAGGAAAAUAUCUUGUUUUCAGAAAAAAAAAUAUAUAAAUUUUUUAAAAAUCUAUAUAAGAAGGAGUUAGACUCCCAGGUCACCUCUCUUGCCUCACUCAGGAUGAGUGGCCCUCUACUGCCUCCUGGCCGAAGACUGUCUGAGAGGCUGAACCAGAGGGAUUCUGGACUCACGGCCACAAGGCACAGUGAAAAAUGAGGACUAGGAGGAAGAUGAGUUACAGAAAGAUGGGAUCCCUGAGCCCUGGUCUUCUUCUGUGCCUCACCUCCCGGGACACCAGCAGCUAUGCUUAUCCCUCUCAGAAGGGAAUUAGAAGUUCCCCUUUGAGGAUCUGACCAUCUCAGGGGAUAAGACUUAAAGAUAUUGAUGGUUAGAAACCCCCAGUGAAACAGUGCUUCAGGGAAGUCCACCAAUCAACAGAUCCCACCUACACACUGAACUCCUAAACUGCCAUCUAGUACAUCAUUCUUUAUUUAAAAAAUUAAAGCAUAGUUGAUUUACAAUGUUUCAGGUGUACAGCAAAGUAAUUCAGUUUUACACACACACACACACGUUAUAUAUUCUUUUUCAGAUUUUUUUCCAUUAUAGGUUAUUACAAGAUAUUGAAUAUAGCUCCCUGUGCUCUACUUGCAUCAUUCCUAAAUAUGAGCAGACAAUCAAGGAUCACCAGAUAUGUGGGAUCACCAGAUGUGUGACAAAAAUCUAACAUGAAAGGCAGAGACCAAAAUGAAAGAAAAAAAAAAUUGGAAAAAAGGAAAAAGUAUAGGCAACAGAAGAAAACUUAAAAAGCCCUCAGUAUCUCUGGAGAGAAAAGAGUCCCCAAAAUAUGAAGGACCACCUGCAUUAGAAGCACUUAUUUUAAGGUCCCAGGUGUCUACAUUUCAAA